GUUAAAAAAACGGCCUAAAACCGAUCCUGUUUUAGGCCUAGGGGAAGGGCUCCUACAGAGCCUGCGCUAAAUCACUGAUAUCAUUUCACUUAAUGACUACUUAAUUGUAGUACAUAAUCGUGAUUUCGCUAGGCU
rnacentral:sRNA from 1 species